rnacentral:lncRNA from 1 species
GCGGGGGGUCCCUGGGGCAGACGCCCUGCUAUCCUCAUCUUAGGAUACCCAGUUCCCAACACAGUGCCUGCUGCAAAUUAUCAGUAAUAACAGGCCAUUAACUCCCCUGCUGGUCCCUAUCCAUGGAGCCCAUUGACAGAUGAGUUUGAUUCUGGACCUAAGAAGGACAGUUAACAGACACAGAUAUCUUUUAAGACCCUGAACUCUCCUCUCUACACCAUCGCAUGUCAGUGGAACUAUAAGCCUCAAGACCUGAGUUCAAGUUCGUCCUCUGCCACUUACUAAUGUGAUCUUGGCAAGUCACGUAUUCUC